ensembl:lncRNA
GAGCGGGAGAGCGCGAAGCUGGGCCUGUCGGUGUCAGAUGCGGCCCUCCCUGAGGAGGGAGAAGCCCUCACCGUCAGGAGCUUUUGCCUGUGGGAAGAGUAAGGGUCUGUCGCUCAUCUCUAACGUUUACAGGUUCCAGGUACUCAGGAGGCUGAGGCAGGAAGAUUACUUGAGACCACAAGUUCAAGGCUGGCCUGGCCAACACACCAAGGCCCUAUUUAAAACAAAUGAAAAAUCGUAGAGCACUGACCUAACAGACAUGAGGCCCGGAAUUGAAUCACCAGCAGUGCAAAGUUUCCCGGUGUAUUUAUUGCCUCAGCUCGGGAUCCGUCCUCCAGUCCACUGGCUCCUACGCGAGGCACCGUUAAGCAGAGGCGAUAUCACACCCCGGAGCACGGCUGAGGCCAGCCGCCCUCACAGCCGUGAAUGGCAGCGUCUGGCGGUGCGGAAACUGGUUUCUGGAGUGACUUGCAGUGUGUUGCGCUCAGCUGGACGGUGACUAUGGUGGCAGCCCUGUCUCGAGGUGCACGGUGUCCUGACUGAAACAACUCCACGUGGUUCCUGGUGUGCGAUAACUCACGAAAGGCUCAGGCUCUGGUGCCCCUGUCUACUCUCCACUUCCAUGAAAUCAACUUUGUAGCUUUCGUAACUUUUCUUCUGUAUUUUUCAGAACUACUUCUCAUUUCCAGCAGUGAUCUAAUUUGGCCCCUUCAAAAUUCAGAGUAAAAUUCACUCAUUCACUCACCAGCAUUAACGCUCUGUACAAUAAAAUGUGGAUCCAGAGCUGAAUGGUGAAGACUGCAGUUGGCAUUAUCCAUACCUUUGGUUACUCAGCUUCAGUAGGCAUCUUUCUACACAUGAGGACACCUGCACAACCAUGAAACAACUCUUGUUUUGACCACAUAAAAUACAGCCAUCAGCUGCCACAGUGGCACAUACUUGUAAUCCCAGCUACUCGGGAGGCUGAGGCAGGAGCAUCACAAAUUUGAGUAAGACCACGUCUCAAAGCAAAAUUUAUUUAUUUAUUUAAUGGUGGCAACAGUAUUUAAUGUUUUUUAGAGGUAGGAAAAAAAAGCCAGAAGAGUAGGGAGAGAAAGUAAGUUCUGCAAAAUAAGCUUGGGCCAAAUAAAAGUAGGAAAAAAUAAAAAUACACAUUACAGCGAAGGGUGAGCUACCAUGAAGAGACUAUCCUCAAAACAAAACUUGAAAGGGUCAGUCCUUAGCACCACAAAUAACUACACAUCAUACUAUAGCUAUACAUAGCUACCCUUCAUAUAAAUGAAGUUUU